rnacentral:rRNA from 1 species
GGGUGCGAUCAUACCAGUACUAAUGCACCGGAUCCCAUCAGAACUCCGCAGUUAAGCGUGCUUGGGCGAGAGUAUUACUAGGAUGGGUGACCUCCUGGGAAGUCCUCGUGUUGCACCCCC